rnacentral:rRNA from 1 species
UACGUAGGGUGCAAGCGUUGUCCGGAAUUAUUGGGCGUAAAGAGCUCGUAGGCGGUCUGUCGCGUCGAAUGUGAAAACCCGGGACUCAACUCCGGGCCUGCAUUCGAUACGGGCAGACUAGAGUUCGGUAGGGGAGACUGGAAUUCCUGGUGUAGCGGUGAAAUGCGCAGAUAUUAGGAGGAACACCGGUGGCGAAGGCGGGUCUCUGGGCCGAUACUGACGCUGAGGAGCGAAAGCGUGGGGAGCAAACAGG